CUAUCGUCGAUCGGCCCUGUUUGCCUCUUCAGAACUUGAAUCCCUUCGACCAAAAAAUAAAAAAAAACUUGAAUCCCCAAAUCCAUUCGACAAAAGCAAAAUCCCUAAACCUAAUUCCCAAGACCACGACGUUGCUUGCACUACCGUCGCCGACAUGAGACUUCCGUCGAAUUCGUAAAGAUGGGGCAAAUCUUACUACCGUGAGUGAGCAUUUACUGUUUACAUGCAAGCCAGAGAGGAAACCAAAUGAUGUGGGCAUUUAUAGUGAAUUACUUAUUGAUGCAUGGCGACUAUUUUAUUUCUUCCCCCUUAAUUUGCAACAAUAUAGAUAACAUUUAGCACAGCAAUUUGUACACAUCAGAAUUUAUGUGUCCAACAAUUUUCUUAAAA